CAGGUUCCGGUUCACGUCCGCCUCGACGGCGGGCGACCCGGCGGCC
rnacentral:ncRNA from 1 species